rnacentral:rRNA from 1 species
AUACGUAGGGGGCGAGCGUUGUCCGGAAUGAUUGGGCGUAAAGGGCGCGUAGGCGGCCCGGUAAGUCUGGAGUGAAAGUCCUGCUUUUAAGGUGGGAAUUGCUUUGGAUACUGUCGGGCUUGACUUCAGGAGAGGUAAGUGGAAUUCCCAGUGUAGCGGUGAAAUGCGUAGAGAUUGGGAGGAACACCAGUGGCGAAGGCGACUUACUGGACUGUAACUGACGCUGAGGCGCGAAAGUGUGGGGAGCAAACAGGAUUAGAUACCCUGGUAGUCCACACUGUAAACGAUGAAUGCUAGGUGUAGGGGGUAUCGACCCCUUCUGUGCCGCAGUUAACACAAUAAGCAUUCCGCCUGGGGAGUACGGCCGCAAGGUUGAAACUCAAAGGAAUUGACGGGG